rnacentral:rRNA from 1 species
GAUGAACGCUGGCGGCGUGCCUAAUACAUGCAAGUCGAGCGAACGGACGAGAAGCUUGCUUUUCUGAUGUUAGCGGCGGACGGGUGAGUAACACGUGGAUAACCUACCUAUAAGACUGGGAUAACUUCGGGAAACCGGAGCUAAUACCGGAUAAUAUUUUGAACCGCAUGGUUCAAAAGUGAAAGACGGUCUUGCUGUCACUUAUAGAUGGAUCCGCGCUGCAUUAGCUAGUUGGUAAGGUAACGGCUUACCAAGGCAACGAUGCAUAGCCGACCUGAGAGGGUGAUCGGCGACACUGGAACGGAGACACGGACCAGACUCCUACGGGAGGAAGCAGUAGGGAAGAUUCCGCAAUGGGCGAAAGCAUGACGGAGCAACGCCGCGUGAGUGAUGAAGGUCUUCGGAUAGUAAAACUCUGUUAUUAGGGAAGAACAUAUGUGUAAGUAACUGUGCACAUAUUGACGGUACCUAAUCAGAAAGCCACGGCUAACUACGUG